rnacentral:rRNA from 1 species
GCUACAGGCUUAACACAUGCAAGUCGAGGGGCAUCAGGAAGAAAGCUUGCUUUCUUUGCUGGCGACCGGCGCACGGGUGAGUAACACGUAUCCAACCUGCCCUUUACUCGGGGAUAGCCUUUCGAAAGAAAGAUUAAUACCCGAUAGCAUAAUGAUUCCGCAUGGUUUCAUUAUUAAAGGAUUCCGGUAAAGGAUGGGGAUGCGUUCCAUUAGGUUGUUGGUGAGGUAACGGCCCACCAAGCCUUCGAUGGAUAGGGGUUCUGAGAGGAAGGUCCCCCACAUUGGAACUGAGACACGGUCCAAACUCCUACGGGAGGCAGCAGUGAGGAAUAUUGGUCAAUGGGCGCUAGCCUGAACCAGCCAAGUAGCGUGAAGGAUGAAGGCUCUAUGGGUCGUAAACUUCUUUUAUAUAAGAAUAAAGUGCAGUAUGUAUACUGUUUUGUAUGUAUUAUAUGAAUAAGGAUCGGCUAACUCCGUGCCAGCAGCCGCGGUAAUACGGAGGAUCCGAGCGUUAUCCGGAUUUAUUGGGUUUAAAGGGAGCGUAGGUGGACUGGUAAGUCAGUUGUGAAAGUUUGCGGCUCAACCGUAAAAUUGCAGUUGAUACUGUCAGUCUUGAGUACAGUAGAGGUGGGCGGAAUUCGUGGUGUAGCGGUGAAAUGCUUAGAUAUCACGAAGAACUCCGAUUGCGAAGGCAGCUCACUGGACUGCAACUGACACUGAUGCUCGAAAGUGUGGGUAUCAAACAGGAUUAGAUACCCUGGUAGUCCACACAGUAAACGAUGAAUACUCGCUGUUUGCGAUAUACAGUAAGCGGCCAAGCGAAAGCAUUAAGUAUUCCACCUGGGGAGUACGCCGGCAACGGUGAAACUCAAAGGAAUUGACGGGGGCCCGCACAAGCGGAGGAACAUGUGGUUUAAUUCGAUGAUACGCGAGGAACCUUACCCGGGCUUAAAUUGCAGUGGAAUGAUGUGGAAACAUGUCAGUGAGCAAUCACCGCUGUGAAGGUGCUGCAUGGUUGUCGUCAGCUCGUGCCGUGAGGUGUCGGCUUAAGUGCCAUAACGAGCGCAACCCUUAUCUUUAGUUACUAACAGGUUAUGCUGAGGACUCUAGAGAGACUGCCGUCGUAAGAUGUGAGGAAGGUGGGGAUGACGUCAAAUCAGCACGGCCCUUACGUCCGGGGCUACACACGUGUUACAAUGGGGGGUACAGAAGGCAGCUAGCGGGUGACCGUAUGCUAAUCCCAAAAUCCUCUCUCAGUUCGGAUCGAAGUCUGCAACCCGACUUCGUGAAGCUGGAUUCGCUAGUAAUCGCGCAUCAGCCACGGCGCGGUGAAUACGUUCCCGGGCCUUGUACACACCGCCCGUCAAGCCAUGGGAGCCGGGGGUACCUGAAGUACGUAACCGCAAGGAUCGUCCUAGGGUAAAACUGGUGACUGGGGCUAAGUCAUAACAA